UACGUAGGGGGCAAGCGUUAUCCGGAUUUACUGGGUGUAAAGGGAGCGUAGACGGCGGUGCAAGCCAGAUGUGAAAGCCCGGGGCUCAACCCCGGGACUGCAUUUGGAACUGUGCUGCUAGAGUGUCGGAGAGGCAGGCGGAAUUCCUAGUGUAGCGGUGAAAUGCGUAGAUAUUAGGAGGAACACCAGUGGCGAAGGCGGCCUGCUGGACGAUGACUGACGUUGAGGCUCGAAAGCGUGGGGAGCGAACAGG
rnacentral:rRNA from 1 species